AUGAACUACAAUCCAGUAAUGGAGGGCACACUUGUGAUCCAGAUCUUGAGGCUGGAAUAUACAGCGUUUUGAUCCAGAUCUUGAGGAAUAGUGGCCCUGAAAAUCUAACCCUAACCCUGAAAAUCUUAGGACUGGACAAAGUGGUAGACACCAUUAAUCCCAGGAAACAAAGCAAGAAGAUCUACAGUCCACUGUGAAGCAUACUGCGACUGUAAUGGCUCACAGCUACAGUGAAGGCAGGCACGGCCUUGCUCAUCAGACUGCGUCAGUUAUGAUCUAUGUCACAAGACACCCAAAGAGAGCUGAACUGACUGGACAUUCCACAUGACACCACACUGGCCCACUUUGUUGAUGGAUUAUAUUCACCAAAUCUAAUUAAACAAAAUGGGAUGUCUUCAUAAGAGAAAUGUACUC
rnacentral:lncRNA from 1 species